ACAGGUGUGAAGUGAGCCACUGCGCCCGGCCUGCCUCAUAGUAUUAUAAUGAAAAUUACACAAAGUAAUAUAUGGAAAGUGGCCGAUAUAGUCAGAACCUGUCUGAAAAUGGGCACUUAAUAAAUAAAUGUUAACUCUCCUUUUCUCUCUGCUCCCCCUUCACUCCCCUCCCUUCCCUUCCCCUCCUCUCCUCUCUCCUCUCCUUUACCUAUUCUCUCUUUGGAGAGAAACCAGUCAGAAGACAAGCGGCCAGGGGUGCCCAUACACAUCAGCAGAGGAGGCUGGAGGAACAGUUCAGGCCAGGGCCUCCAAAAGCUGGCUGCAAUUUCUGCGGCAGGAAAUCCGCUUGAACAUUAAUUUAAAAGUGAAGGAAGAAGAAGCCUCCAUGACAGAGGAGCAAUCCAAGCCUCUCCAGCAUGGCAGAUUUGGCCCAGGAUAAAGAAGAAUGGUGUCAUGAUCAGGACACAGUCAGGAAGGGCUGGGGGAGCUCCGGAACAAAUGCAGCAAAAUGCCGACAUCUGUUUUAUCUCAACAGUGGACUGUGCUUCUUUGGAGGUGAACUUGUGCUGAUACUUGAUGGGUCACGCAGACUUACAGUGAGAAACAGCUUCAGGAAAGUCAGAAGAGAAAUCCGAGCAAUAAUUAAAAACACACGGUAUUAGUCUGUUCCCAACGCUGCUAAUAAAGACAUACCUGAGACUGGGUAAUUUAUAAAGAAAAGAGGUUUAACGGACUCACAGUUCCACGUGGCUGGGGAGGCCUCACAGUCAUGGCAGAAGACCAAGGAAGAGCAAAGGGAUGUCUUACAUGGUGGCAGGCAAAAGAACAUGUGCAGAGGAACUGCCCUUUAUAGAACUAUCAGAUCUCGUAGGACUUAUUCACUAUCUUGAGAACAGCAUGGGAAAUACUCGCCUCUAUGAUUCAAUUACCUUGCAUUCCUGACCCAUGUAAAUCCCUAGUCUACAUUGCCCUGCAUAAUGGUCUUGUAGCAUUUUCUAGUUAUUACUGCUAUUUGUGAACACAUCUAUUCUCCUUAACUAUUAAUAGUAUAAACAAUUUGAGGGUAGGGCAUACUAUAUUUUAUUUUUUAACCCUUAGGACCACAAUGCUAUAGUUUGAAUGUUUGUGUCCCCCCCAGAUUCAUGCAUUGAAAUGCUAAUCUCCAAGGUAUUGGGAGAUGAGGCCUUUGGGAGGUGAUUAGGUCACAAGGGUGAAACCCUCGUGAAUGGUAUUAGUGCCCUUAUAAAAGAGGCCCCAGGGAGAUACCUCACCCCUUUCACCUUGUGAGGACACAGAUAGAAGACCCCAUCUAUGAAGCAGGAAGUGGGCCCUCAUCAGACACUGAAUCUGCCGACAUCUUGAUCUUAGACUUUCUGGCCUCUAGAAUUAUAAGAAAUAGAUUCUGAUGUUUACAAACACUCAGUUUAUGGUAUUUUGUUAUAACAGCCCCAACAAAGAGAAGCCCUCAGGGUCUCCUACUUUCUUUCUUUUUUUUUUUUUUAACCUUUAUUUUAGGUUCAAGGGUACAUGUGUCGGUUUGUUUUAUAGGUAAACUCAUGUCACAGGGGUUUGUUAUAUCAAUUAUUUCGUCACCCAGGUACUAAGCCUAGUACCCAAUAGUUACUUUCCCUGAUCCUCCCCCUUCUCCCGCCCUCCACCCUCAAAAAGAUCCCAGUGUCUGUUGUCCCCUUCCUUGUGUCCAUGUGUUCUCAUCAUUUAGCUCCCACUUAUAAGUCAGAACACGCAGUAUUUGGUUUUUUGUUCCUGUGCUAGUUUGCUAAGAAAAAUUGACUCCAAUUCCAUCCACAUUCCCACAAAAGAUAGGAUCUCAUUCUUUUUAUGGCUGCAUCGUAUUUCCUGGUGUAUAUGUACCACAUUUGCUUUAACCAGUCUGUAGUUGAUGGACAUUUAGGUUGAUGCCAUGUCUUUUCUAUUGUGAAUAGUGCUGCAAUAAACAUUUGCAUGCAUGUGUGUUUAUGAUAUAAUGAUUUAUUAAUAUAGUCCUUUGGGUAUAUACCCAGCAAUGGUAUUGCUGGGUUGAAUGCUAGUUCUUGUCUUUAGCCCUUUGAGAAAUCACCAAACUGCUUUCCAAAGUGGUUGAACUAAUUUACACUCCCACUGACAGUGUGUAACUGUUCCCUUUCCUCCACAACGUUGCCAGCAUCUGUUAUUUUUUGACUUUUUAGUAAUAGCCAUUCUGACUGGUAUGAGACGGUAACUCAUUGUGGUUUUGAUUUGCAUUUCUCUAAUGAUCAGUAAUACUGAGCAUUUUUUCAUAUGUUUGUUGUCCUACUUUCUAAGAUCACACUCAUUACAUUACAUAAGUACUUGCGUGAAUGGACUCAUUUGCGACAGUUCACUUAUUCAUAUUACUCUAGGAAUGCAUGGGGGAUUCUGGGGCCCACCAGAGCCCCGGACCUCUUCUGUUCCUUGCAGUGGCUAUGACAGCUGGGACCACAGUGGGGCUCCAUCCGCAUUAGUAACUCUUUGGGGAAUCUGACAUGGUUCUUUCUGGGGGAGCUUUCAAAAAAAAAAAAAACACAGUAAUCACCUCACUUCCCACCAAAAUGCAGCCAGAUCUCAAGCAGAAGAUGACAGCUCUCAGAUAACACCAUGAAACCUUUCAAAACAUCUAACACUGGAGGAGAGAGUAAAGGAAAAAGGAGUCUGUCAUCAGCUACCAGUGGUUGUGCUUGCUUUUUUGUUACUCUUCACUAUCUUCCAACCACUGGGACUGUCUUCUAGGCACCACAGGGUGCACGCUGCAUGGGUCCCUGGUGAGUGUUGUGACGUCAAUUAGCAGCUGGGUUUCAGGGAUGGCUGGAAAGCUCCCCUGCUUCUCCACCCUGCAGGCCGCACGUGAGGCCCAACCACAAGACAGGAACCUUGGCUUCCAAACCCGAUCCUCCAAAACGUGGGCUUAUAUAACUUAUUUGUUUAUUUUUAAGCCAGCCCUGUCCAAGUGGAGAACAUUUAAGAUUCCCUUUUAGAAAAAAUUUGGAAACCAACAUUAUUAUUAACUAAAUCAGCAAGCAACGGUUUUGUAAAAAUUCCAAACGGCACAGUUCUGUGGACUUUGAGCAUCCCGUUCU